rnacentral:lncRNA from 1 species
CCAAAUUAUGAAAAUUGGCAAUUGGGCGAUGUUCACAGUGUCCCGUCUACUGCCUGGGGCCCCUGUCAUGCAGCAGCUGCAGAUACCACGUCCUUGGGUUGGAGCCCCUUCUCUACUCACGUUGGACAUAGAAUCACUUUUCCAAUCAGAAGUAAUAUGAAACAAAAUUGGACUUUUUCAUCAACUGGAGAAAUUGAAACAUGUUUAUUUAAUUGUUAUGGCAUGCAAGAUAUUUUCUCAAGACUUCCAGUUAGAAGGGAAUCAGAAAUUUUGACCCUUUUUUGAAAUUCUUGAAAAAGCCCUCAAAUUGUAGGA